AUUGAACGCUGGCGGCAGGCCUAACACAUGCAAGUCGAACGAGUGGCGGACGGGUGAGUAAUGUCUGGGAAACUGCCCGAUGGCGGGGGAUAACUACUGGAAACGGUAGCUAAUACCGCAUACCAUCGGAUUUGCCCAGAUGGGAUUAGCUAGUGGGUGGGGUAACGGCUCACCUAGGCGACGAUCCCUAGCUGGUCUGAGAGGAUGAUCAGCCACACUGGAACUGAGACACGGUCCAGACUCCUACGGGAGGCAGCAGUGGGGAUUAUUGGACAAUGGGCGCAAGCCUGAUGCAGCCAUGCCGCGUGUAUGAAGAAGGCCUUCGGGUUGUAAAGUACUUUCAGCGAGGAGGCGUUACUCGCAGAAGAAGCACCGGCUAACUCCGUGCCAGCCGCCGCGGUAAUAC
rnacentral:rRNA from 1 species